rnacentral:rRNA from 1 species
GGGGGCCCGCAAGCGGUGGAGCAUGUGGUUCAAUUCGACGCAACGCGAAGAACCUUACCUGGGCUCGAAGCGCAGUGGACCGGGGUAGAAAUAUCCCUUCCCCUUAAAAGGCUGCUGCGGAGGUGCUGCAUGGCUGUCGUCAGCUCGUGUCGUGAGAUGUUGGGUUAAGUCCCGCAACGAGCGCAACCCUUAUCCCUAGUUGCCAUCGGGUCAAGCCGGGCACUCUAGUGAAACUGCCUCGGAUAACGAGGAGGAAGGUGGGGAUGACGUCAAGUCCUCAUGGCCUUUAUGUCCAGGGCUACACACGUGCUACAAUGGUCGGUACAAACCGUCGCAAACCCGUGAGGGGGAGCUAAUCGGAAAAAGCCGGCCUCAGUUCGGAUUGGGGUCUGCAACUCGACUCCAUGAAGCUGGAAUCGCUAGUAAUCGCGGAUCAGAACGCCGCGGUGAAUACGUUCCCGGGCCUUGUACACACC